rnacentral:tRNA from 1 species
UCCCUCAUAGCUUAGUCAGUAAAGAAUCUGCCUGCAAGGCAGGACAUCCAGGUUAGAUUCCUGGGUUGGGAA